GUCUGGGUUACUUGGGGGAAGAUUGAGAAAACAGAAUGUAAGGUGAUUUUCCGCCUCCAAAUCCAUGCUACACAUGCUGAUGGAAGUUACAUAUUUAGCUUAGAUAUUAGUCCGAAGCUUUGUCAAUUAGCUCAAGAACAUGUCAAGAGCAUGAGAGAAUGAUAAUGUCAAUGAAGGAGGGGAUAGUAACAACAAUUUAGAGAUUUGGAAAGUUUUAGAUUCAUUAUCAUAUUUUUUUUUUUAGGUAAUGGAUGGUUUUACUUUGAUUUAUUCAGUUAUUUGCAAACUAUAUUUAUGUAUUUUUGAGAGUACUUUUCUCUUGUAUGAGACAUUAUUAUGUUGA